UCAGCCGAUUUCUCUAAGUAAUUUCAAUUUUGGCCAAUUUUCUAAAUCCAUAAUCAAUCUUGGGCCCAUCCCACCUUAUCAGCGGCCCUUCAAUCUUUCAAGUUCAAUUCCCCCUUUCCUUCCAAUUCUGGCAGACCAAUAUGGAUGACCCAGCCCUUUUGUUUUUCUUUUAAUCUCCGUGUUUACUUAAGACCAAACGCAAAAUAAUUUCCUAAGCCCAAUGCUCUUUUCCUUUGGACCCGGCCCAAGUCUCUUUCUCCAACAAAGAGUUCUUCCCAGGCGGCGUAUUCAACAGUACCACAGGACAGAGAAAGCGACUCCUCAACGUCUCUCGCCUUAGUGUAUGAUUUCAGCAGCAAGGGGUUCACGCGCCUUGCCCUUUUUCUAACGUUUCAGUGAGAGCAGGCUUCUGUAUUGUACUUACUCGCGCGGAUGUGCAACACGUCAAGCUCCAAGGACAAUGGGUUUAUUCCAAGCCAUCCUUUGAUCUGGCUCAUCCGGAUUUUAAGGGAUUUAGCUGAAAAUCUCGUACACUACAGCUUGCUCAUUGUCCUUGGGAGGUUUUUGAAUUUGAAACGGGUGUGAGAAUGUCAACUUUGCCCUUUUCCCCCCGAAAUCGAAACCCUAAUUCUUCUCCUAUAAAUACAAUCUUUUGUUCUUGAAUAGGGGAACCUUUUUUUUGAGAAUUUUGGAGCCGAAGAGGAAACAGGGAGAUUUUUGAGAAAGUGUAAGAGGGAAAUUUAGAGAGAAAGCUGGAAAAUAGAAGAGAAAAACUGGAAAGGUUAGCUAGAAUUUUUAGAGUUAGAUAUCGCUAAGUAAGAAAAUAUAUUCAACGGAAAGUUUAAGCAGAAAUACAUGAAACACAUAUUUAGUACACUUUGAAACCGAAAGAGAUAAUAGAUCGGCGUCUCGAUCUAAGUUUCUGUCCGGAUUUCUUAGCUAUUGCUGCAUUUGAGCUCUCGUGGUUGUUGGUGGAAUCGUGGUGAAGUCAUUCCUGCCGCCUGUCUCAGUCGCUGCCUGGAGAAAGCGGUUUACCUCAGCAAGAUGGGAAUAUUGCUCCAAGUUAUGGACUAGAUAAUUAAUUUGGUCAGUCCUCACACUUUGAAAUGACAAAAAAUGUUGGGACAUCCUCAAAUUUUCAUAUGUUUUCUAUUUUUGAUGCAGAUGAUUAUCAGUAUAUCCAACACUUGUUUUUUAUUUAAAUAAGUUAAUUUCAUGAGACAAAAAUGUAUACAUUUUUAGAUAUAUUGGGAAAAUAUCACACAAGAUGAGCCCAUUGAUCCUGUGAA